UGGGGAAUAUUGCACAAUGGAGGGAACUCUGAUGCAGCGACGCCGCGUGAACGAAGAAGGCUUUCGAGUCGUAAAGUUCUUUUAUAUGGGAAGAUAAUGACGGUACCAUAAGAAAAAGCCCCGGCUAACUACGUGCCAGCAGCCGCGGUAAUACGUAGGGGGCUAGCGUUGUCCAGAAUCACUGGGCGUAAAGGGUUCGCAGGCGGAAAUGCAAGUCAGGUGUAAAAGGCAGUAGCUUAACUACUGUAAGCAUUUGAAACUGCAUAUCUUGAGAAGAGUAGAGGUAAGUGGAAUUUUUAGUGUAGCGGUGAAAUGCGUAGAUAUUAAAAAGAAUACCGGUGGCGAAGGCGACUUACUGGGCUAAUUCUGACGCUGAGGAACGAAAGCGUGGGUAGCAAACAGG
rnacentral:rRNA from 1 species